AGGUGGUGAUGCCCUUUUUGUUCAGUGUAGCAUAGCUCUGUAUGGAGUGCGAUUUUUGGAGGGGAGAAGAAUGCAUGAGAGGAAAGCCCCGAAAGGAACACCGUGAGCUUUAAUUCUAGAUUUUAAUACUCACGAUUUGCUUGCUGGGCCGGAAAGUGUAGUGCAGCACCUCGUUCCCGGAGCUGCUCAUCAGCCCGAUGCUGGACAGACCUUCCGCCGCCCCCAUGCCCACGUCACUGGCGCCCUUCGUGAGCUCCGUUUCCCGGAGGUAAUCGCGCUGCAUCAGGCGAUUCGAGGGGCUUGCAAAUCCUGGUGGGGACACCAGGCUCUUCAGCGGACGUUUUUCUGCAAAUGCGUUAAUUAAGGAAACUGAAUGAAUAACUGAUGAUGAGUUGCAACGAAGGUGAUGGUACUCUAAUAGAUUUAAUUUAAAUAUUGUUUGGUUGACAAGAAAUUCAAUUGCAAUAUAUAGUGAAUUUUAUUUUAAUUGUUUACUUAAGAGCUUAUCAUUCUCGUGGAGAUUCAGCAAGCAGUGAUGGGUACUCACCAUACUGAUUUGGUAUAACAUCGGGAUCGGUGUCGUCUAUAUCGGCCUGAUCGGCCAUGGGACUGUGCCGGUUCCUUGCAUUUGAGCGGAGUGUAUCGCCUGGCAUGGCCACCAGGCCAAUGGGCGAGCUGCCCUUCAUCCCGCCAUCGAGGCCCACUCCCACGCCUCCACCGCCCACAUCCCCGAGAGCGCCGCAGUCGACCGCGUUGCGACCAUCACAGUUGAGGGGCAGGAGGCUGUGGUGCGGCUGGUGGUUGCCGGAUCCGUCCGUCUGAACGCCCGGAUGCAACGGGUCCAGCUGGCAGUCCGCCGGAAUCGUGAGCUGCGUGUGCUUGGCCACCUUCAGAUUGCUGUCGCUGCGCCUGCAAUUUAAAUGGGGCCAUUAGAGCAAAGCCGCAGCCAUUAGCCAUUAGCUUGGUUUUGGUGUCCGUACCGAUUGGAAAACCUCCGGUAGAUGGCUGCCAGCAUGAUGCAGAAGAUGGCGAACAGCAGGCCGCAGAAAAGGGUCAGACCCGCCAGGAAUGGGGAGAGGGGCAUCGAGAGGCCGGUCGAGGCACCUGCGAAAUGCCGCAAUUAAAUUAUUACCACAUAAUUCCCAAUUACUUGGGUUCUUGGGCCCCAACCGCAACUCACCUGUGAACUUGGCCACGCCCUUGAAGUUGAUGUCGUCGAUUAUGGUGGGCUCCGAACGACCUUUGGCAUUUACGGCGAAUAUCACCAUGCGAUAGGUGGCCGCCUGGUCUAGGUUGUCUAUCACAAAGGUCACCGGUGUAUGCUAAAUAAUUUCGGGUAGAAGAAAAACCAACAAAACAAAAAUUAUAAUUACUUUCAGAAGAAGUUUAAAAACGCAACAAUGAUUAUAAAUUUCCCUGAAUUUCCCCUCCUAUUUACUCGCACUUUAAUGUUUAGUGAACUUACAAAACACAGCAUCCAAAUUCGGUAUAAAAAAAGCGUCCUCUAAAGGACCUUUGCAUUCUAUGGAUAGAAAAACAUCUGACCACUAGGAAUAUAUUUAAAUGAUGCUAAUAAUUUACUGCAAGCCUAAUCCACAUUAGCUUUUAAUCUCCCAAAAUCCAACAAAAUAAUUUAUUUACGGAGUUACAAAUUAUAUUAUUUUUUGGCAACUUAAAAAUAUAAGCACAGAGCCCCAAAGUAUACAAUAUUUCCAUCCGCUUAUCUCCUGCUGUUCUGAACACUGCGAGGCAAUUAAUUACUUUAAACCCCCAUUGAUUAGAGGAAGUCGCCGAUAAAGUUGUUUAAUGGGUUCGCUGGGUAAUUAAGAUUCCCGUGCUUAUUAACCCAAUUCUGAAGCUUACCGAAACCGUGAUGUUCCUGGCCAGACGCAACGUGUUCAGUUCGACCAGCUCCAGCAUGAAUCCCUGCGGAAGACCUCCGUCGAAUCCCUCCAGGCAGUCGACUUGCAGCGAGUCCACCGACUGAUUGGUCACCGAGCAGUUCUGCAGUGGAAACGGCCGACCUGCGGAUAGAGUUACGUCCACCCCGAUUAACUGGGAUAAUGCUGAUGAUGAUGAUGAUGGUGCUGUUGGGUGCUUACCGGCUGCCACAAUUUGAAACACGCAGGGACUCUUCUGCGUGCCAAUGGAGUUCUUGGCCCAGCAUGAAAUCGUGCCGUAAUCGAGGUCCGUGCUGGGUGUGUAGUUUAAUCGCGACAUGCCGGUCUUAAAGGAUAUAGAUAGAUACACAGGUAGUUAGCACUUUCAGAGUGGCUGUCCUUCAGACAAUCCUACCUCGCUGGAGUGCAGGCGAGCUGGCAGCUCAGUCUGCUCGCCGGACGAAUUGAAGGUCCACUGGAAGGAGUCCGCCGGCGGCGAGGAGUCCACCUCACACUUCAGGGGCAGGGUCUCGUGCUUCAGAGCGCCCAGCAGCUCCUCGUGGUCCGUGGCACAAAUCGGGGCAUCUAUCGGAGUCAAGUGGGAAAUUAGAGCGCUUAUUGAAAUAUUUAACGGCCAUCAAAAGGAUCGAACGACAUGACAAUGCAGCUUAACAAUGCACUCAAAACAUUGGGGGGCAAUUAAAAAGGGAAAAUAUAAAAAUAAUUUGAUCUAUAAGCGAAUCAAAUCUGUUUUUAAAUAAUUAGUGUUUUCGUAAGCGACAUAUUAUCCGAUCUGAUUGUUACAAUAAUAGAUACUUUCUUCUUGA